rnacentral:snRNA from 1 species
AUCGCUUCUCGGCCUUUUGGCUAAGUAAGAUCAAGUGUAGUAUCUGCUCUUAUCAGUUUAAUAAAUAAAUAUUUUUUUAAAAAAAACAUCAAGAAUAGCUACU